rnacentral:rRNA from 1 species
UCGAUUCGAGCGUGAUUACCCGCUGAACUUAAGCAUAUCACUAAGCGGAGGAAAAGAAACUAACAAGGAUUCCCUUAGUAACGGCGAGUGAACAGGGAUCAGCCCAGCACCGAAGCCUGUGGUCAUUUGGCCAUUAGGCAAUGUGGUGUUUAGGUCGUUCCGCAGAGACACUGCUCCUCUCUAAGUCCAUCAAUGAGUACGGUUGUACUGACAUGGCCCAAGGAGGGUGAAAGGCCCGUAAGAGUGGAGUUCUGGUACGACAGUGUCUCUCUGGAUUGACCUUGGAGUCGGGUUGUUUGGGAAUGCAGCCCAAAGCGGGUGGUAAACUCCAUCCAAGGCUAAAUACAAGCACGAGUCCGAUAGCGAACAAGUACCGUGAGGGAAAGUUGAAAAGUACUUUGAAGAGAGAGUAAACAGUGCGUGAAACCGCUUAGAGGUAAACGGGUGGAGUUGAACUGUAAUCUUUGAGAAUUCAGCUGGGGAAUUUUGUUUGAGCUUGGUCAAUUGGGCAGGACCUCGAGGUAUGCUUAGUUGCAUGUUCUGACCUUCGGGUUGGGAUGCGCGUUGCUCUUAUCAAGGGCUGCGCGCCUCGGGUGUUCGGCUGGCUCAUUCGCCAGUGCACUUUCUCAGAGUGAUCACCACGACCGGCGCUGCUGCUUUGCUGUUAUUGUUAAAUCGGACAUUCAUCGUCCUUGUGGCGUUGGGUGGUCGACACGGCAGGUAACUGGGGACUUGCUUCGGCUUGUUGCCUGGUGUAUGCUGGCUUUAACGGUCUUAUGCGGUGUGUCGGAGACGGCGGCUUGUGGUGUGUGCGUGCGUGCCUAUCUGUUGGCAUAUUCUGGUUUGGUGGCUGUGUGCUUGUUCAAGCAGGCCCAGUUAUAGCCGGAGUGUGUCAGUGGGUGGUUGCGUGUGUGACACUGUUCAGGGCCAAUAGUCUGUGGUGUUGUGGUAGACUAUCCACCUGACCCGUCUUGAAACACGGACCAAGGAGAGUAACAUGUGCGCGAGUCAUUGGGCGUAACGAAACCCAAAGGCGCAGUGAAAGUAAAGGUCUGGCUUGUCCAGGCUAAGGUGAGAUCUUGUCGUUAUUCAUGCGCGGUACCACCAAGCUUGGAGCGGCAGGCGCAUCACCGGCCCGUCCCAUGACGUGGUCACAUUCUCCGGAUUGUGCGCCGUCGGGGCGGGGCAUGAGCGUACAUGUUGAGACCCGAAAGAUGGUGAACUAUGCUUGCGCAGGUUGAAGCCAGAGGAAACUCUGGUGGAGGACCGCAGCGAUUCUGACGUGCAAAUCGAUCGUCAAACGUGAGUAUAGGGGCGAAAGACUAAUCGAACCAUCUAGUAGCUGGUUCCCUCCGAAGUUUCCCUCAGGAUAGCAGGUCGAUUCGAGCGUGAU